rnacentral:rRNA from 1 species
UGGGGAAUAUUGCACAAUGGGCGCAAGCCUGAUGCAGCCAUGCCGCGUGUAUGAAGAAGGCCUUCGGGUUGUAAAGUACUUUCAGCGGGGAGGAAGGCGAUACGGUUAAUAACCGUGUCGAUUGACGUUACCCGCAGAAGAAGCACCGGCUAACU